AUGCCAUCCUAUGACACUCUGGAGGAAACUUGGAUUGUGAUUGAAGGACUGCCUCCCAAAUGGAUAUCCUGGAGCAUUAUCUCUCAAAUAUCUACUAUGCUGGGGGUCCUUGUUAAUGUUGAUUGGCACACUAUCUUCAGGAGCUUCUAUGAGAAGGUGAGGAUCCAGGUAGCUGUCAGAGACCCUGCUAAGAUUCCCAGAGACAGGAUGGUGGAGAUACACCAUGAACUAUAUUUGCUGCAGUUUACCGUGGAGUCUGAGGCUGUGAGUGGUACAAUCCCUCUUAGAACAAGCAUACUGAAGAAGAAUUUGAUUCCAGUGGUGAUGACUUACUUGGAGAAGAUAUGGAUACUGGAAAUAGCAACAACAAUGCCAAAGACAAGCAUCAAACCACUGGAUCCAAUGGAGCCAGGACUAUGCAGAAGUGCUCUACACCUGCUCCCAGAGCUAAUGAAGAAAAUGUAG
rnacentral:rRNA from 1 species